rnacentral:rRNA from 1 species
GGAAGGCACGGCUAACUCCGUGCCAGCAGCCGCGGUAAUACGGAGGUGGCAAGCGUUGUUCGGAAUCACUGGGCUUAAAGAGCACGUAGGCGCCCGGUCAAGUGUUUUGUGAAAUCCCUCGGCUCAACCGAGGAAUUGCAGGGCAAACUGAUCGGCUUGGGGCAUACAGGGGCGACUGGAACUCUAGGUGGAGCGGUGAAAUGCGUAGAUAUCUAGAGGAACGCCGGUGGCGAAAGCGGGUCGCUGGGUAUGUCCUGACGCUGAGGUGCGAAAGCGUAGGGAGCGAACGGGAUUAGAUACCCCGGUAGUCUACGCUGUAAACGAUGUCCACUAGGUCGAGGGGGUUCUGACGCUUUCUCGGCCGAAGCAAAAGUACUAAGUGGACCGCCUGGGGAGUACGGUCGCAAGGCUAAAACUCAAAGGAAUUGACGGGGGCUCACACAAGCGGUGGAGCAUGUUGCUCAAUUCGAGGCAACGCGAAGAACCUUAUCCUGGGUUUGACAUGCAUGGAUGGCCUCCCUGAAAGGGGUUGUGUCUGCCUUCGGGUGAAACGUGCACAGGUGCUGCAUGGCUGUCGUCAGCUCGUGCUGUGAAGUGUUGGGUUAAGUCCCGUAACGAGCGAAACCCUUGUCCUUAGUUGCCAGCGGGUCAUGCCGGGGACUCUAAGGAGACUGCCGGUGUUAAACCGGAGGAAGGUGGGGAUGACGUCAAGUCCUCAUGGCCUUUAUGCCCAGGGCUGCAAACGUGCUACAAUGGCGGGUACAAUGCGACGCGAUACCGCGAGGUGGAGCAAAUCGCCAAAAGCUCGCCCCAGUUCGGAUUGCAGUCUGAAACUCGACUGCAUGAAGUCGGAAUCGCUAGUAAUCGGAGAUCAGCUACGCUCCGGUGAAUAUGUUCCUGAGCCUUGUACACACCGCCCGUCAAGUCAUGGAAGCUGGGAGCACUCGAAGUCGGUCUGCUAACCCUUCGGGGAGGCGACUGCCG